rnacentral:tRNA from 1 species
GCCCCUUUAGCUCAGGGAACAGAGCGCCGGUGUGCGAACCCGGAGGCCGGUGGUUUAAGUCCACCAAGGGGUGCCA